UACGAAGGGGGGCUAGCGUUGCUCGGAAUCACUGGGCGUAAAGGGUGCGUAGGCGGGUCUUUUAAGUCAGGGGGUGAAAUCCUGGAGCUCAACUCCAGAACUGCCUUUGAUACUGAAGAUCUUGAGUUCGGGAGAGGUGAGUGGAACUGCGAGUGUAGAGGUGAAAUUCGUAGAUAUUCGCAAGAACACCAGUGGCGAAGGCGGCUCACUGGCCCGAUACUGACGCUGAGGCACGAAAAGCGUGGGGGAGCAAACAGG
rnacentral:rRNA from 1 species